CUCGCCCGGCGCAGCCCUGGCCUCCGGGCGCACCCGUCCCGUUCGUCCCCGGACGUUGCUCUCUGCCCCGGGAACGUCGAGACUGGAGCGCCCGAACUGAGCCACCUUCGCGAACCCGGAGCGCGGCGGCCCGACUCACCGCGGAGGCGCCCGGACGCGUAAAGUGCGUACUUUCAACUAGGAACGUGUGCAGAGGCUUUUUAGGGGUGCGGGGUAACUCCCAACAACGUGGGGUUCUGGCAGGCCCCGCCGCGGCGGCGGAGACCUCCUAAUCUGUCUCUGCGCGCAGCGCACUGCUGGUGACUUUGGGUUCAGGGGCGGCGGGGCGGGAAGGUACCUUGACCUGGGGUCCCCGAGACUCUGAGCAAGUUCCGCUUCGCUACAUCUCACAGUGACCCCCCUCCCCAGGGCAGGGUUUCAACCCCAAAGCUCCCGGGAGCCGCACGGCCAAGAACACCCCAGUAAUCGCAGGGGUUUUUCUGGGUGACGGGACCCCAGCCGGGUACCGCAGCUCCAGCCGCGCUGCCCGGUGCUGUCCCGUGCGCUGCCCUCCCAGCAGAGACCAGCUGCCUAACUUUUCCGCCUGAGACUGCUCUGGCGUCCUGAGCGGGUGGGCGCCGGCAGAUCGCUUUCCACUAGCCAAGGAACUUGUCCGGAGAAGUCGACCGUCCGCAGGGCAAGUGGCCCAGGGCAAGGGGGCACAGGUAGGCGCCCGCCCUCGCCACUGCGUUUCAGCGGUCUCUGCCAGGGGUUCCUUUGGAGGGACCUGUGGCUGCAGCCGCUGGAGCCCUGAGUGUACCUCGCUUGGAGAACAGAGUAGUAGCCUGUGAAUGGGGCUCUCUUUUCCCCUCUGGGUCAGAGGAUUUCUCUGCUCUGUGGGACGGGAUGUACAGCCCAACACUUCCCACCUGAGGGAAGCCAGCAGACUCCUACUGUUCCUAGCAGCCAUGUUAGGGGCUUUCAGGUGGACUAGGAAACUUUCCCUGAACAUACCUGACUGGGGGUCCCACUCAUAUGGUUCUAUCCCGAAGCAGGGCUUCUCUGAGCUUGCAGACCUCUACCCCCUUCUCUUUUGGACUGGGGUGAUAGAAAAGAGACAUGCUGAAGAGUCUGAGAGGCAGAUUGGGGGCUUCUGAGACCCUGUCUUGGGUAGGGCAAGAGAUAAUUCUCCUCAGCCCAAGAUUCCCUCAUCUUUAGGAGACACCACUCUAGGGCGGGUGUCCUGCUCCUUCACUCAGGGACUUGGGACAGGGAUAUGAGGCAGAUCCUCCCCUUCCCACAUUCAGUUUCUGAAAAGGCCACCUGGGGUAUGUUCAUGUGUCUGGAUGCAUAUGCCAUGUGGCAGUCAUAGUCUGGGACAGACAUAAGUCCAGCCCUGCUGGUCCUGCCCUAUGGGACCAGUCGCAUCUGAUCAUCACUCCUUCCUGAUGUGGGACACCUGAGAAAGAAGCUGUCAGCCUUGCUGGGCAGCUGCUGGUGUGUGGGGGACAGGCUAUACCCCACACUUCAGGACUCCAGAGCACUGGAUGAAGUACCCCCUGACUCCUAUGGUCUUCUGUACAGGGGAGCCCAGCCUUCCUGCCUGCCUGGACUGUCCUCAAAGGAGCACAUGCCCUCUGCCUGGCCCGUUCUUCCUCAGGGGCCAGCAGCCUACUACGCAGCAGAUGAAGUUCUGUGUCUGCCUGGCAGACCUGCCCCUCCCAGGCUGGCCCAGCUGGGAUCCUCUGGAGUGACUGCUGAGAGGUGCCCAAUAAAGCUUUGUGCCAUGAG